rnacentral:rRNA from 1 species
UACGUAGGGGGCGAGCGUUGUCCGGAUUUACUGGGCGUAAAGCGCGUGUAGGCGGCUGCUUAAGUCGGGUGUGAAAGCCCGGGGCUCAACCCCGGGAUGCCGCCCGAGACUGGGCGGCUUGAGGUCGGAAGAGGGGAGUGGAAUUCCAGGUGUAGCGGUGAAAUGCGCAGAUAUCGGGAAGAACACCCGUGGCGAAGGCGGCUCUCUGGGACGGUACUGACGCUGAGACGCGAAAGCGUGGGGAGCGAACAGG